GGUUGUAGCUCAGUGGUAGAGCACUUGCCUAGCAUGUGUGAGGCACUUGGUUCAAUUCUCAGCACCA
rnacentral:tRNA from 1 species